rnacentral:rRNA from 1 species
AACGAACGCUGGCGGCAUGCCUAACACAUGCAAGUCGAACGGGACCUUCGGGCCUAGUGGCGCACGGGUGCGUAACGCGUGGGAACCUGCCCUUAGGUUCGGAAUAACUCCCCGAAAGGGGUGCUAAUACCGGUUAAUGUCUUCGGACCAAAGAUUUCUCGCCUUUGGGUGGGCGCGCGUUGGUUUAGCUAGUUGGUAGGGUAAAAGCCUACCAACGCGACGAUGCAUAGCUGGUCUGAGAGGAUGAUCCGCCACACUGGGACUGAGACACGGCCUAGACUCGUACGGGAGGCAGCAGUAGGGAAUAUUAGGCACGGGGCGAAAGCGUGAUCAAGCCAUGCCGCGUGAGUGAGGAAGGGCUUAGUGUUGUAAAUCUGUUUGACACGGGAUGAUAAUGACAGUACCGGGAGAAUAAGCUCCGGCUAACUCCGUG